rnacentral:rRNA from 1 species
UGGGGAAUAUUGCACAAUGGGCGCAAGCCUGAUGCAGCCAUGCCGCGUGUGUGAUGAAGGCCUUCGGGUUGUAAAGCUCUUUUGGCGGGGACGAUGAUGACGGUACCCGCAGAAUAAGCCCCGGCUAACUUCGUGCCAGCAGCCGCGGUAAGACGAAGGGGGCUAGCGUUGUUCGGAAUUACUGGGCGUAAAGCGAGUGUAGGCGGUUGCCGUAGUCAGGUGUGAAAGCCUUGAGCUCAACUCAAGAAAUGCACUUGAUACUGGGUGACUAGAGGACCGGAGAGGAUAGUGGAAUUCCCAGUGUAGUGGUGAAAUACGUAGAGAUUGGGAAGAACACCAGUGGCGAAGGCGGCUAUCUGGACGGUUACUGACGCUAAGACUCGAAAGCGUGGGGAGCAAACAGGAUUAGAUACCCUGGUAGUCCACGCCGUAAACGAUGGGUGCUAGACGUUGGCGAGCUUGCUCGUCAGUGUCGCAGCUAACGCGUUAAGCACCCCGCCUGGGGAGUACGGCCGCAAGGUUGAAACUCAAAAGAAUUGACGGGGUCAUAGCUGUUUCCU